GAUGAACGCUGGCGGCGUGCUUAACACAUGCAAGUCGAACGAGAAGUGGAGACGGAAACCUUCGGGCGGAAGACUUUACUUCGAGUGGCGGACGGGUGAGUAACGCGUGGGUAACCUGCCUCAUACAGGGGGAUAACAGUUGGAAACGACUGUUAAUACCGCAUAAGACCACAGCACCGCAUGGUGCGGGGGUAAAAACUCCGGUGGUAUGAGAUGGACCCGCGUUCGAUUAGCCAGUUGGCGGGGUAACGGCCCACCAAAGCGACGAUCGAUAGCCGAGCUGAGAGGAUGACCGGCCACAUUGGGACUGAGACACGGCCCAAACUCCUACGGGAGGCAGCAGUGGGGAAUAUUGCACAAUGGGGGAAACCCUGAUGCAGCGACGCCGCGUGAGUGAAGAAGUAUUUCGGUAUGUAAAGCUCUAUCAGCAGGGAAGAAAAUGACAGUACCUGAGUAAGAAGCCCCGGCUAACUACGUG
rnacentral:rRNA from 1 species